rnacentral:rRNA from 1 species
UGUUUCGGCAAGGGGGUCAUCCCGACUUACCAACCCGAUGCAAACUGCGAAUACCGGAGAAUGUUAUCACGGGAGACACACGGCGGGUGCUAACGUCCGUCGUGAAGAGGGAAACAACCCAGACCGCCAGCUAAGGUCCCAAAGUCAUGGUUAAGUGGGAAACGAUGUGGGAAGGCCCAGACAGCCAGGAUGUUGGCUUAGAAGCAGCCAUCAUUUAAAGAAAGCGUAAUAGCUCACUGGUCGAGUCGGCCUGCGCGGAAGAUGUAACGGGGCUAAACCAUGCACCGAAGCUGCGGCAGCGACGCUUAUGCGUUGUUGGGUAGGGGAGCGUUCUGUAAGCCUGUGAAGGUGUGCUGUGAGGCAUGCUGGAGGUAUCAGAAGUGCGAAUGCUGACAUAAGUAACGAUAAAGCGGGUGAAAAGCCCGCUCGCCGGAAGACCAAGGGUUCCUGUCCAACGUUAAUCGGGGCAGGGUGAGUCGACCCCUAAGGCGAGGCCGAAAGGCGUAGUCGAUGGGAAACAGGUUAAUAUUCCU